rnacentral:rRNA from 1 species
UACGGGGGGGGCAAGCGUUGUUCGGAAUUACUGGGCGUAAAGGGUUCGUAGGUGGCUCGCUAAGUCAGACGUGAAAUCCCUCAGCUUAACUGGGGAACUGCGUCUGAGACUGGCAAGCUCGAGUGCAGGAGAGGAACGCGGAAUUCCAGGUGUAGCGGUGAAAUGCGUAGAUAUCGGGAAGAACACCAAAGGCGAAAGCGCUCUGCUGGGCCGAAACUGACACUGAGAGACGAAAGCUAGGGGAGCGAAUGGG